AGAAGUGAGGGUGAUCUUGCUGCAACACCUGUCACCCCAUUGAUUGGCUGAUCCAGCUGGAUAGGCAGAUGUUCCCUUUCUCUCUCACUGCUCCAUGUGCAUCUCUCUUGAAGCUGUGCACUGGUUGAAGAGGACAACCAUCCCUGAUAGAGAAGUACCAGUCUUCAGUCAAGGGUAUAUGAGUAGCUGCAUUCCCCUGCUAGAACCUGCAAACAAGCUCUCAAGGUCCAUUUGCAGGAGAAUGUAGGGUAGUCAAGCUUCCAAGACUCCAGACACAUCCAAAUGAGGUGCUGCAUGUGGCAGUCUGCCUUUCUUU
rnacentral:snRNA from 1 species